rnacentral:tRNA from 1 species
GUUUUAAUAAUUUAAAAAUAAAAUAUUGGUCUUGUAAACCAAAAAUAAGAUAACUUUUAAAACU